UACGAAGGGGGCUAGCGUUGCUCGGAAUCACUGGGCGUAAAGCGCACGUAGGCGGCUUUUUAAGUCAGGGGUGAAAUCCUGGAGCUCAACUCCAGAACUGCCUUUGAUACUGAGAAGCUUGAGUCCGGGAGAGGUGAGUGGAACUGCGAGUGUAGAGGUGAAAUUCGUAGAUAUUCGCAAGAACACCAGUGGCGAAGGCGACAUCCUGGACCGGCAUUGACGCUGAACAGCGAAAGCCAGGGGAGCAAACGGG
rnacentral:rRNA from 1 species